AAAGACGAAGUGCUUUGAUUUUUGAAUAAACAAAUGUCGAGGUUACAAGGAAAUUGGAGAAAACUGAGUAUCGUGCUGUCAUAAAGUACCUUCAUUUGAAAGGCAUGACUCCAUCAGAAAUCCAUGAAGAUAUGGUGAGAACCUUAACAGACAAUGCUCCUUCAUAUGCAACAGUCAAACUCUGGGUAAAUGAAUUCCAGCGUGGCAGGAGGCAUCCAACUGCAACCAACGAGGACAACAUUGACCUUGCUCU